GAUGAACGCUGACAGAAUGCUUAACACAUGCAAGUCUUUGGUGAAGCUGUGCUUGCACAGCCUAGCCAAGGCGGACGGGUGAGUAACGCGUAAGGAACUUGCCCUGCAGUCAGGGAUAACAGACGGAAACGACUGAUAAGACCUGGUAAAGUCAGGCGGACUCAUGUCCAGCCUGAUGAAAAGAGAUGCUGCAGGAGAGCCUUGCGUCCUAUUAGCUUGUUGGUGGGGUAACGGCCCACCAAGGCAAUGAUAGGUAGCCGGCCUGAGAGGGUGGACGGCCACAAGGGGACUGAGAUACGGCCCUUACUCCUACGGGAGGCAGCAGUGGGGAAUAGUGGACAAUGGGGGCAACCCUGAUCCAGCAAUUCUGUGUGCACGAUGAAGGUUUUCGGAUUGUAAAGUGCUUUCAGCAGGGAAGAAAAAAAUGACGGUACCUGCAGAAGAAGCGACGGCUAAAUACGUG
rnacentral:rRNA from 1 species